CCUACGGGAGGCAGCAGUGAGGAAUAUUGGUCAAUGGACGAGAGUCUGAACCAGCCAAGUAGCGUGAAGGAUGCCUGCCCUAUGGGUUGUAAACUUCUUUUAUAUGGGAAUAAAAUGUUCCACGUGUGGGAUUUUGUAUGUACCAUAUGAAUAAGGAUCGGCUAACUCCGUGCCAGCAGCCGCGGUAAUACGGAGGAUCCGAGCGUUAUCCGGAUUUAUUGGGUUUAAAGGGAGCGUAGGUGGAUUGUUAAGUCAGUUGUGAAAGUUUGCGGCUCAACCGUAAAAUUGCAGUUGAAACUGGCAGUCUUGAGUACAGUAGAGGUGGGCGGAAUUCGUGGUGUAGCGGUGAAAUGCUUAGAUAUCACGAAGAACUCCGAUUGCGAAGGCAGUUCACUGGACUGCAACUGACACUGAGGCUCGAAAGUGUGGGUAUCAAACAGGAUUAGAUACCCCAGUAGUC
rnacentral:rRNA from 1 species